rnacentral:rRNA from 1 species
ACGCUGGCGGUGUGCUUAACACAUGCAAGUGGUGCGACGAACCAGAGCUUGCUCUGGGGCAAAGCCGCGAACGGGUGAGUAACACGUGGGUAAUCUACCCCGAUGACCGGGACAAUCCGAGGAAACUCGGGCUAAUACCGGAUGUGGUACGGAGACAUAAGUCUCUUUACUAAAGGUAGCUUCGGCUUCCGCAUUGGGAGGGGCCCGCGGCCCAUUAGCUAGUUGGUGGGGUCAAGGCCUACCAAGGCAACGAUGGGUAGCUGGUCUGAGAGGACGAUCAGCCACACUGGGACUGAGACACGGCCCAGACUCCUACGGGAGGCAGCAGUGGGGAAUCUUGCGCAAUGCGCGAAAGCGUGACGCAGCAACACCGCGUGAGGGAAGACGGCCUUAGGGUUGUAAACCUCUUUCAGAUGGGACGAAGGUGAUGCGGUGAAUAGCCGAUGUCAUUGACAGUACCGUCAGAAGAAGCUCCGGCUAACUACGUG